ACGAAAAAAGUUAAUUCCUGCUAAAGAGUAAAACCCAAAUUAGUUUUCUCUCUCAUCAACGUCCAAACCGCAGCUGCUCUUCCUGUCCUUCCUCCUCUCCCGGCCUCCGCUUUCAAUCUGCAAACUUUGUUGACAAAGGAGUUGUCAUUGCCUCCUUCUCUGCCGCUGUUAUUCUAUCUGUUGACGAUAGUAUUGCUUCUUUUCUUCAUUUAUUAGAUGGAAAAUAGACCAGAUUUGGAGGAGGAGGAUGAUGAUUUUAGUGACAUAUACAAAGCGUACACUGGGCCUCUUGGAUCUUCUGCAGUCAAUGUACAAGAAAAACCAAAAGUAAACAGCAAAAGGUCCCAAGCUAGUUCCGAUGAAGAAGAGGAACGCGACCCUAAUGCUGUUCCAACAGAUUUUACGAGCCGAGAAGCUAAGGUUUGGGAGGCUAAAUCUAAAGCAACAGAGAGGAACUGGAAGAAGAGGAAGGAAGAAGAAAUGAUUUGUAAAAUUUGUGGAGAAUCAGGUCACUUCACUCAGGGAUGCCCAUUCACCCUUGGAGGGAACCGCAACUCCCAGGACUUCUUUGAAAGGGUGGCUGCAAGAGACAAGCACGUGAGAGCGCUUUUCACAAAUAAAGUGAUUGAGAAGAUUGAGGAAGACAAUGGCUGCAAAAUAAAGAUGGAUGAGAAGUUUAUCAUCGUUAGUGGCAAGGAUAGAUUAAUCUUGAGAAAAGGUGUAGAUGCAGUGCAUAAAGUGAUUAAAGAUGAAUGCAAUGAUAGGAGUUCUCCGAGUUCUCAGAUGGGAAGGUCUAAGUCGCCUGAGCGCAGUUCAAUUGGUAACCGGUUUUCUCGCUCCGAACCCCGAAGAUCUAGGUCACCUGAGCGCAGUCCUUUCAGUAACCGAUUUUCACGCUCAGAGUCCCAAAGAUCUAACCCUAGCCCUAGAAAUGCAUCACAAUUUCCUCAGAGAUUUGGCAGACAAGAUAGAGGUCUUGAGGACCGUAUUCGUGGGGAUCUGCAGAAACCUUCUAAAACUUCUCCACAAGCUUAUGGUAGUGAUGGAGGACGAGGUCGUGCAAGCCGUUCGCGAUCUCCAGCUCGUGCCCCUUAUAGUGGCAGUUUAUAUACCACACAUGAGGGGCUCUAUAGAUCUCAUGGAUGGGAAACUGAUAGACGGGAAUCUGAUGUCCAUGCUGAUAAUAAGUCUGAGCAGUCUACAUUGCCACAAACACUAGAGGAUUUGGAGUUGGAAUACAAAAGAGAAGCCAUGGAUCUUGCUAGACAUCGUGACCAGCAAGAAGACGAGGAGAAUUACAAGCAUCGUGAGGUUAUCAGAGAAUUGAGGGAGACUUACAUGAAAAGGAUUUCUGGUAUGCGAAGCUCCCAUGCCAAACAGUGGGAUGAGCUCCUUCACUUGGAUGCACAAAGACUUCAAGAACAAAUACUCCAGCAGCAGAUAUCCACUUCAGAUUUUGGUGGUUAUCAGCCAUCUACUAUCUCCCACUAUGAUUCAUUACGCAGUCAACCCUACACUGUGGGUCCAAGAGUCCAAUACCCGAAUCAUGAUGAAACUUAUCCACACUCUAGGCCCCGUGAAGCUUACAGCGAUAUUCAGCAUCAGAGACUAGAUGGUUACGGGAGAGCAUACAACCGAUACUAAAUAGUGAUGCUGGAACAGAUAUUGGGCUCAGGACUUGAUGGUUACAUGUGCUAGUGGAGCCUGACCCUAGAGCGUAUGACUGAUUAUAGUGUCAGGAAUCUCCUGAUUAACCAGGACAAGAACAAGUACAAUACUCCAAAUUAUCGCUUUGUUGUGCAAUUUGUAUCCUAAUCUUCGAGUUUCUUUGAUCCUCUUUGCUUAUUCCGGUCGUUGCUUACAUCCACUUAAUUUCCUUCAAAUUCGACCACUCAACACGUCACCGCAACCUUUGUAAUUCCGACCUAUGAGAUUAGUAACAAAUGUUUUUGUUGCGAAAAAAUAAGAGUCGUGAACCAGAUAAUCAUUGAGUUUUGGCAACAAAAACUAUUUGGUAACAAACCUUUUAUUGCAAUAAAAUAAUUUUUGGCAACCAAAAAAAUCGUUGCAGAUACCCUUUAGUAACAA